CGAUACCGCCGUACGCGGUCCGAAACGCGGGAUGACAACGAUGUCCGUGACCGGUACGUCAUUUGAAAAAAGUCCCGCCGUCGGUUUUGUUUUACGCGCGAUGACGGCGAAUGACCGCCGCCCCCGCACUGUGCGCGUACGUCGGCGCGUGUGACUAUUCGACGGACGCGAUGAACAGGCCGCCGUUGUCACAACGUCACGUCGCGCGGUGUACGCGCACGCGUGUUAAAUUUAUCGCGCCUUUUCGCGGUGUUCAUACAUAAAAUCGCCGUUUCAAUAACCG